UACGGAGGGUGCAAACGUUGCUCGGAAUUAUUGGGCGUAAAGAGCUUGUAGGCGGUCUGUCGCGUCUGCUGUGAAAAUCCGGGGCUCAACCCCGGACUUGCAGUGGGUACGGGCAGACUAGAGUGUGGUAGGGGAGACUGGAAUUCCUGGUGUAGCGGUGAAAUGCGCAGAUAUCAGGAGGAACACCAAUGGCGAAGGCAGCUCGCUGGGACGGUACUGACGCUGAGACGCGAAAGCGUGGGGAGCAAACAGG
rnacentral:rRNA from 1 species